rnacentral:rRNA from 1 species
CCGCCCGUCACAUCAUGAAAGCCGGUUGUACCCGAAGUCGCCUCUGUUAACCCCGAUUUAUCGGGGAGACAGGCGCCGAAGGUAUGGCUGGUGAUUGGGAUG